rnacentral:sRNA from 1 species
UCGGUUCAAGUCCUGAGAGGAUCCAAGAUUUGGAGAUGCCUUGUAACCGAAUAGCUAACGUCUAUUAAGGGGGACUAUUAU